UGAUAUGUCUGGUAUUCUUGGGUUUCAUUGACAACCAGAACUAUUAGACAUAUCGAA
rnacentral:pre_miRNA from 1 species